GGAUCCAUGGCGCAAUGGUAGCGUGUCUGACUCUCAGAUCAGAAGGUUCCGUGUUCGAUUCACGUCGGGUUCA
rnacentral:tRNA from 1 species